rnacentral:rRNA from 1 species
AGAGUUUGAUCAUGGCUCAGGACGAACGCUGGCGGCGUGCUUAACACAUGCAAGUCACGGGGGCUCGCAAGGGCAACCGGCGAACGGGUGCGUAACACGUGAGGGACCUGCCUGGAAACGGGGGAUAGCCGGCCCAACGGCCGGGUAAUACCGCAUACGCUCUUCGAGGGGCAUCCCUUGGAGAGGAAACCUCCGGGGUUUUCAGAGGGCCUCGCGGCCUAUCAGCUAGUUGGCGGGGUAAUGGCCCACCAAGGCGACGACGGGUAGCUGGUCUGAGAGGAUGGCCAGCCACAUUGGGACUGAGAGACGGCCCAGACUCCUACGGGAGGCAGCAGUGGGGAAUCUUGCGCAAUGGCCGAAAGGCUGACGCAGCGACGCCGCGUGUGGGAGGAAGCUCUUCGGGGUGUAAACCACUGUUGCCCGGGACGAACGAGCGAUUUUGAUCGCUGUGACGGUACCCGGGUGAGGAAGCACCGGCUAACUCUGUGCCCAGCAGCCGCGGUAAUACAGAGGGUGCGAGCGUUGUCCGGAAUCACUGGGCGUAAAGGGCGCGUAGGCGGCUUGGUAAGGUUGCGGUGAAAGCCCGGGGCUCAACCCCGGGGUCGGCCGUGGCAACUGCUGAGCUAGAGCACUGUAGAGGCAGGUGGAAUUCCGGGUGUAGCGGUGGAAUGCGUAAAGAUCCGGAAGAACACCGGUGGCGAAGGCGGCCUGCUGGGCAGUAGCUGACGCUGAUGCGCGACAGCGUGGGGAGCAAACAGGAUUAGAUACCCUAGUAGUCC